AUAGAGACAUGAGAACAUCGACAACUUUGUUGCACCUGCUUCUCAUUAUUACCUGGAUCAAUCUCUUCUUCACAUAUUGCUCUAAUAAUAAUAAAAUGAGUGUAAAUUUAUGAGACUGACUUCUUUCCUAUGUAUCCAAAGGAAAUCUAACUCCUCCUUUUGGCAACCAUAUGACACAUACCCUGGGGAGGGAAGCACAGGAUCCUUAAUCAGUAAAUUGAGUCUUGUUCAAUGUGCUUUGCAAAGGAGACAUCAGUGUAUUGUUGAAUUCUGUAUGCGAACCUUGUUAAAUAAACUUGUUCUUGGUUAGAGAAAGUAUUUACUUACAAAAAGAGUCCUUUAGCAUUUUACCAAAUCUUUAUAGUUCUUGUCAUUUAAAAAUGUGUACCUCUCUAUCCCCAAAAGCCAUUAUAAUUUUUGAGGCAAAAGUGGAAAUUAAGACUUGUGUAAAGCUGAAGCUCUAUCCUUCAAGAUAUCUUUGUUUUACAUUAGGGUGUUAUCUUUUAAUCUUGGAUCCUAAAUAAAAUUUGGUUUUUUUUUUUUUUUUUGUCUUUUCUAGGGCCACCCCUAUGGCAUAUGGUGGUUCCCAGGCUAGGGGUCUAAUCAGAGCUGUAGCUGCCAGCCUACGCCAGAGCCACAGCAAUGCUGGAUCCGAGCCGUGUCUGCGGCCUACACCACAGCUCACAGCAACGCCGGAUCCUUAACCCACUGAGCAAGGCCAGGGAUCGAACCCACAACCUCAUGAUUCCUACUCAGAUUCGUUAACCACCAUGCCACGACGGGAACUCCUGUGUCUAGUUGGUUUUAUCAUUCAUAAAAAUUCCGAGUGAAGAGAUAUGCCACAUGCUAGUGUAUUUUUCAUAAUGUAUUUCUUUGGUAGUAUUUUAAAUAACAGGGAGUACCAAAAAACUGAUCAUUAUGGAGGGAUUUAACCUCAGCUAGCUAUUUUAUAACCAAUGCUUUAUUCCAGCUCUAUAAUUAACAUCUAAAAUUAACAUUUUUCAACAUGACUUUAAACAUUAAGGAAUCUAAGUAGAUAUAAAUACUUAAAGUACUAUUGCUUUGCACUUUUUAGGCCUUUCAAAAUGGAACUAAAGGCAGUCUCUCGCCACAUGAAAUAUGGCACAGUACAUGCUUUGGAACGGUUUUUAUAGUUUUAAAUAUUUUUUAUGCCAUUGGGUGUAAUUAUUUCCAUACGUUUAUGAAGAGUAAAAGGAGGUAGCAACAGAGAUGCUGAAAUGGUCUAUAUCCCUUUGCAUUGUUAGCCACAUAAGAGAACUGGUCCCUUCUUAUCUCUAGUCUAUUGGUAAAUAGAAUUUAUUCACUUUCCUUAAUACUAACCUGAAGAUACUGUUUAAUGCACCAUAAACAAAUGAAUUUCUUACAUGAUUAAAAUGGUCUUAACUAUCCAAUGUUUUUUGCUGAUUGAAUCUGCCACUUCUGUUUACUAGGAAAAUAAAUAACAUAUGUUUGCUCUCUUUCUAAAAGGUUCCUAUUUAUUCUGUGGUCAUUUCCCACUUAUAAUAUUUCCAGCUUAAUUUCAUAAAACAGCUUUUAUAUGACUUGAAAAACAGCCCUUAUUGUACAUUGUCUUCAAGUAUUUUGCCUUUGAGCUCUGGACUUUUAUUUGAAGAAACAUCCAACCGUCCAGCUUUUCUUUUCUUUCUCUCUCUCUCUUUGCCUGUAUUAGGGUUGGAAUUUAAAAAGUCAAACAGCUGCAUGCCUUGCAUAUGCGGACAGAAAAGGCAAAAUUCAGCUAUUUGAGAAUGUUUCCCCCCACCCCAUACAAUAUCAGCAAUUCUCGUGCCUAAUUUAUAGUUGUCAAACAAAGGAAAACAAGGCUUAAAGGGCAUUUGUCUGUCAGAGGACUCAUUAAGGUGAACCAGCUUGCAGAGAAAACUCUUAUUGUGAUAAUUUUGUAAAGGAUGGAUGCCACAAGAAGUGCUAUUUCAUAUGCUCCCUUCCAAAGAUUUAAGGCCUGUAUAAAGUUCAAUGAACAUGACUAAAUCGUAUCUUGAACAGAUAGAUUCCUGGUAUGUCAUGGACUCCAUGUCAUAUGCUUGACAUACAUUCAAAUUCAGACUCAAGGUCUGUUUCUGUAUCACCACAUUUAUGUUAAAAUAUGAAGCAUCUUGAGUACAUGUUUCAAGGCUUAUCUCAGAUUGCAUCUCUAAGAUAUUUUCCUGUUAUCUGUGUUGGAUAUGACCUCAAACUUUUAUAUGAUGUGACAUGUUCUGCUUUGUAUUACAGUUACUUGUGGGUUUGUCUUAUUUCCUUCCAUUUCCACCAUAUGAAUUUCUGUUCUUCUUUCAAUUCCUGCUAUCCUUAUAUGAAGACAUCUGUCUUGGUAGUAUUCCUCCGAUCUAGAGCCAGGGUUUAGGGUAGGUGUUCUUCAUGCAUGGAGUUAAAAUACUGAUCCAGUUUUUCCUUUUCCAACUUCUCAUAAUGUACUAAUAUUGAAAAAGUUAAGUUUUAAUGUAAAUGAAGAAUACAUAUUAUUAUACACAAUUGAUAUAUAUUAUAAAUCCAUUAAAAGUGUCAAUUGUAUAAUAAGCUUAAUUUUACAUAUUUUUAUGUAAUUAUCUGUAUUUCUUAGAAGUCAGUGAACUCUAGAACUGGAAAGUACUUUAAAUUCAAGCAAUUCCUAUUGCAGAAAGAGGAAACCAACGUUCAGACAUUAGAGAGACAUAAGAAUUUUAUUUUACUUUUAGUUUGGAGUAUUGUAAGACAGCACAGGGGACUUCUGAUUCAAUUACUAAUGGCCCUUCUUUUGCUUUAAAAUUUUCUCUGUUAACCCUGAUGAAAUAGGAAUUGUGUGAUUAGUACCAGGCUGUAUUUGUUGUUGAGCUGUAUGAUAAUGAUUUGAUCAUAUUUUUUAAGGCUUUGAAUGUUAGGAAGCAGUACUACUACUAUUAUUUUUAUUCCUGCCAUAUUUAGUUAUAGGUGUUUUCCAAGUGAUUCACAUGGAAUUUUAGUGAAUCCACUUCCACUCAAAUGUCCCAUGCAUCUUGGUGGUGCUAAUUGAUAGGGAUUAUCACCUUUGAGAGACUCUCAUGAGAAGAAACAUAAUCCAGAAUAACCCAGGGCUUGGUAGCAUGGGAGCCAAACUCUGCUUGGAGAUAAUGUCAUAUAGUUACUUCAAAGCCUCUGCCAUGUAAGGACACACCCAGUUAUGGACCAAAUUGACCUGGAACAUUUUACCUAAACCAUGGACCUCUAAACCAGGUGGUCCACAGUUUUAAUUUAGGCUUGCUGUAAGUGAGAUUCCCCAUUGUCAAAGGUGAGAAAAUUUUACACAAUAAUUUUCCAAACUUUCUCUUAGAUAUUAAAAUUUCAGCUGAGUAUUUUGGUUUUUAUGCUGACAAAGUAGGCAUAGACUCAACCAUGAGAUUCCAACAGAGAAAUGUAUUAUAGAGCUGGUGAGUGAUCCUAGUAUUAAGCAUUUCAAGGAUCCUCAAAUACUUUCAUUUGACUUUUGUGAUAACCCUGUGACACUGGUGUCAUUCCCAUUUUACACAUGAGGUACCUGAGGCUCAGUCAUAGGAAUUAGUGAAUGAUGAUUUUGGACCUCAAAUCCAACUUUGUAUUACUUGAGAAUAUAUACUCUUCAUUACGCCAAGCUGAAUUCAUCAUAAAUUUCAUCUUAAGUCUCUCAUUUGGAAAUCUACACUUGAUUCAGAUUCAUGUGUGUGAAGUAUGAGGCAGAGUUAGCCUUAUUUGUAAGUGGAAGUGGCAUAUUAUAUUCCAUAAUCAACAUAACCUGCAACAGUUACCUUUUGUAUUUUCAGAUGUGGCAAAAAAAAAAAGGGGUUCUGUAGUUACGUGAGAUGGAAUUAUUUUUCAAUUAGCAAGUUGUAUACUGUAAAUAUUCUGCUGAGUUCACCAUAU
rnacentral:lncRNA from 1 species